rnacentral:rRNA from 1 species
UUGGUUAAGCUACUAAGAGCACACGGAGGAUGCCUAGGCGCUAGGAGCCGAAGAAGGACGUGGCGAACAACGAAACUGCCUCGGGGAGCUGUAAGCAAGCUUUGAUCCGGGGAUGUCCGAAUGGGGAAACCCGGCUGGAGUAAUAUCCAGUCACUCAUGCCUGAAUACAUAGGGCAUGAAGAGGCAGACCAGGGGAACUGAAACAUCUAAGUACCCUGAGGAAGAGAAAACAAAAGUGAUUCCGUCAGUAGCGGCGAGCGAACGCGGAUUAGCCUAAACCAAGGGGCUUGCCCCUUGGGGUUGUGGGACGUCUCACAUGGAGUUACAAAGGAGCAUAUUAGAUGAACAGGUCUGGAAAGGCCGGCCAAAGAAGGUAAAAGCCCUGUAAUCGAAAGUGUGCUCCCUCCGAGACGGAUCCCGAGUAGUGCGGGGCACGUGAAACCCCGUAUGAAUCCGCCAGGACCAUCUGGUAAGGCUAAAUACUCCCUAGCGACCGAUAGUGAAGCAGUACCGUGAGGGAAAGGUGAAAAGCACCCCGGAAGGGGAGUGAAAAAGAACCUGAAACCGUGUGCUUACAAGAAGUCAGAGCCCAUUUUAGGGGUGAUGGCGUGCCUUUUGUAGAAUGAACCGGCGAGUUACGUUUGCAAGCAAGGUUAAGCCGAUAAGGCGGAGCCGCAGCGAAAGCGAGUCUGAAUAGGGCGA